rnacentral:rRNA from 1 species
CAUAGCGAGGAAAGAACCAACAGGGAUUACCUCAGUAACGGCGAGUGAAGCGGUAACAGCUCAAAUUUGAAAUCUGGGUCUUUCAGGCUCCGAGUUGUAAUUUGUAGAAGAUGCUUCGGGUGCGGCUCCGGUCUAAGUUCCUUGGAACAGGACGUCAUAGAGGGUGAGAAUCCCGUAUGUGAUCGGUUGCUUGCGCCCAUGUGAAGCUCUUUCGACGAGUCGAGUUGUUUGGGAAUGCAGCUCCAAAUGGGUGGUAUAUUUCAUCUAAAGCUAAAUAUUGGCCAGAGACCGAUAGCGCACAAGUAGAGUGAUCGAAAGAUGAAAAGCACUUUGGAAAGAGAGUUAAACAGUACGUGAAAUUGUUGAAAGGGAAGCGCUUGCAACCAGACUUGCGUGUCGUCGAUCAUCCGGGGUUCUCCCCGGUGCACUCGGCUUCACUCAGGCCAGCAUCGGUUUCGGUGGUUGGAUAAAGGCCUUGGGAAUGUAGCUCCUCUCGGGGAGUGUUAUAGCCCUCGGUGCAAUGCAGCCUACCGGGACCGAGGACCGCGCUUCGGCUAGGAUGCUGGCGUAAUGGUUGUAAGCGACCCGUCUUGAAACACGGACCAAGGAGUCUAACAUCUAUGCGAGUGUUUGGGUGUCAAACCCAUACGCGUAAUGAAAGUGAACGGAGGUGAGAACCCUUAAGGGUGCAUCAUCGACCGAUCCUGAUGUCUUCGGAUGGAUUUGAGUAAGAGCAUAGCUGUUGGGACCCGAAAGAUGGUGAACUAUGCCUGAAUAGGGUGAAGCCAGAGGAAACUCUGGUGGAGGCUCGCAGCGGUUCUGACGUGCAAAUCGAUCGUCAAAUUUGGGUAUAGGGGCGAAAGACUAAUCGAACCAUCUAGUAGCUG